rnacentral:rRNA from 1 species
GACGAACGCUGGCGGCGUGCUUAACACAUGCAAGUCGAACGGAAAGGCCCUGCUUUUGUGGGGUGCUCGAGUGGCGAACGGGUGAGUAACACGUGAGUAACCUGCCCUUGACUUUGGGAUAACUUCAGGAAACUGGGGCUAAUACCGGAUAGGAGCUCCUGCUGCAUGGUGGGGGUUGGAAAGUUUCGGCGGUGGGGGAUGGACUCGCGGCUUAUCAGCUUGUUGGUGGGGUAGUGGCUUACCAAGGCUUUGACGGGUAGCCGGCCUGAGAGGGUGACCGGCCACAUUGGGACUGAGAUACGGCCCAGACUCCUACGGGAAGCAGCAGGGGGGAAUAUUGCACAAUGGGCGGAAGCCUGAUGCAGCAACGCCGCGUGCGGGAUGACGGCCUUCGGGUUGUAAACCGCUUUCGCCGGUGACGAAGCGUGAGUGACGGUAAUGGGUAAAGAAGCACCGGCUAACUACGUG